AGAGUUUGAUCCUGGCUCAGGAUGAACGCUAGCUACAGGCUUAACACAUGCAAGUCGAGGGGCAGCAUGGUCUUAGCUUGCUAAGGCUGAUGGCGACCGGCGCACGGGUGAGUAACACGUAUCCAACCUGCCGUCUACUCUUGGCCAGCCUUCUGAAAGGAAGAUUAAUCCAGGAUGGCAUCAUGAGUUCACAUGUCCGCAUGAUUAAAGGUAUUUUCCGGUAGACGAUGGGGAUGCGUUCCAUUAGAUAGUAGGCGGGGUAAUGGCCCACCUAGUCAACGAUGGAUAGGGGUUCUGAGAGGAAGGUCCCCCACAUUGGAACUGAGACACGGUCCAAACUCCUACGGGAGGCAGCAGUGAGGAAUAUUGGUCAAUGGGCGAUGGCCUGAACCAGCCAAGUAGCGUGGAGGAUGACUGCCCUAUGGGUUGUAAACUUCUUUUAUAAAGGAAUAAAGUCGGGUAUGCAUACCCGUUUGCAUGUACUUUAUGAAUAAGGAUCGGCUAACUCCGUGCCAGCAGCCGCGGUAAUACGGAGGAUCCGAGCGUUAUCCGGAUUUAUUGGGUUUAAAGGGAGCGUAGAUGGAUGUUUAAGUCAGUUGUGAAAGUUUGCGGCUCAACCGUAAAAUUGCAGUUGAUACUGGAUGUCUUGAGUGCAGUUGAGGCAGGCGGAAUUCGUGGUGUAGCGGUGAAAUGCUUAGAUAUCACGAAGAACUCCGAUUGCGAAGGCAGCCUGCUAAGCUGCAACUGACAUUGAGGCUCGAAAGUGUGGGUAUCAAACAGGAUUAGAUACCCUGGUAGUCCACACGGUAAACGAUGAAU
rnacentral:rRNA from 1 species